rnacentral:rRNA from 1 species
CAGCAGCCGCGGUAAUACGGAGGGUGCAAGCGUUAAUCGGAAUUACUGGGCGUAAAGCGCACGCAGGCGGUUUGUUAAGUCAGAUGUGAAAUCCCCGGGCUCAACCUGGGAACUGCAUUUGAAACUGGCAAGCUAGAGUCUCGUAGAGGGGGGUAGAAUUCCAGGUGUAGCGGUGAAAUGCGUAGAGAUCUGGAGGAAUACCGGUGGCGAAGGCGGCCCCCUGGACGAAGACUGACGCUCAGGUGCGAAAGCGUGGGGAGCAAACAGGAUUAGAUACCCGUGUAGUCCCUGUCUCUUAUAC